GGAGAAGGCUGUUGAUCCUGGAUUGGUUUACGACAUAACAACCGAUGAUUAUUUGAACUUUUUAUGCGCGUCUAAUUAUAGUGGUAGGGAUAUUAAACAGAUUACAAAGAGAUCAGCUAAGUGCAGAGGGAAGCAUGAUCAUAAGCCUUGGAAUAUGAAUUAUCCAGCAAUCUCAGUAGUUAUUUAUACGACGCAAUUGCAGGAACCAGCAAUAGUACAAGUGACAAGGACUGUGA
rnacentral:misc_RNA from 1 species